rnacentral:rRNA from 1 species
GACGAACGCUGGCGGCGUGCCUAAUACAUGCAAGUAGAACGCUGAAGGAGGAGCUUGCUUCUCUGGAUGAGUUGCGAACGGGUGAGUAACGCGUAGGUAACCUGCCUGGUAGCGGGGGAUAACUAUUGGAAACGAUAGCUAAUACCGCAUAAGAGUAGAUGUUGCAUGACAUUUGCUUAAAAGGUGCAAUUGCAUCACUACCAGAUGGACCUGCGUUGUAUUAGCUAGUUGGUGGGGUAACGGCUCACCAAGGCGACGAUACAUAGCCGACCUGAGAGGGUGAUCGGCCACACUGGGACUGAGACACGGCCCAGACUCCUACGGGAGGCAGCAGUAGGGAAUCUUCGGCAAUGGACGGAAGGCUGACCGAGCAACGCCGCGGGAGUGAAGAAGGGUUUCGGAUCGUAAAGCUCUGUUGUAAGAGAAGAACGAGUGUGAGAGUGGAAAGUUCACACUGUGACGGUAUCUUACCAGAAAGGGACGGCUAACUACGUG